GCAAAAUGCCAUCUACUCUAUUCAGUCGUUACGUUGAUGCAUUCAUGUUUUGGCUCCCAAAGCAGAAACACAUCAAAAAUCACAUCCUCAAAUACAUCAAUACAACAACAUGAACUGUUGGUGGCCAAAUUUAUCUCAACAAUUUAUCAGUUUACCAUUUCACCUAUCCAAAUAUGUCUCAACAAAUAAAUUACAUGAAUAUGUGUGCAAACACGCAUGGCAUGAAAACAGCCUAUUCUCAAAGAACAUCAGAAUGAUUCCUUAUCCUUUAAUACUCUGCUCUAAGAAUGAAAAAAAUACACAGAGAUCCAUGCUCAGUCUUUCCAACACAAGCAUAUUAAUACCACACAUAAAUAAUUACAAGAAUACCACACAUAAAUAAUUACAAGAAUACCACACAUAAAUAAUUACAAG
rnacentral:misc_RNA from 1 species